rnacentral:lncRNA from 1 species
AUAUCUUACUUAGCUAGAGUUGUUGGAUCUUGAGUGUGAUCUGUGAUUUCUUUUUUUUUCUUUUGACAUUACCAGGGCCUGCUAAUUUUGUAUUUUUAAUCCUCCAGCAUUCAUCUUGCUUUUUCAUUCCUUCCGAUGAAACCAUUCCUAAUCAUUAUGACCCCUAAAUUGUAAUCCUAAGUAGCCUCCCCGGCCCCAGUGUUUCCUACUUGCAGGGCAUCCUUUCAGAGCGUUUUGAGAGCUUAUUCUCAAAAUCGGCUCUUCUCCAAUGCUGCUGUCCCAUGUCAGCAGUGCCCAGCGUAUGACAGAUGCAGCUCCCUUAACACACACACCAGACCCUUGCCCAGCUCACGCUAAUCUGCUUCCCUGAUGCCGAUGCUUGCUGGCUCCUGGUACGGACCUCCCGGGGCUCUUCUCACCCAGCUCUGUGUCACCCACUCUGCUGCUGCCUCUUUCAGGCCCCUGAGCACGUUCUGGCUCAUUGUUUUAUUUGGCAGGUUUUUAUUAAAUUCUUCUGUGCUAGGUACUGUUCUAGGCUCUGGUGAUGAGAGUCACUGCCCCCGGCGGCUAACACCGCAGUGACAUCUUCAUGGAAAGUUUCCUCAUCUCCAUCCUGCCUCUCACUGCGCUCUGCGUUGGUCUGAAUUUGCUGAUUACUGUCUGCUGCCUGGCAUGCUGUCCUUUCAACAGUGUGUGUCUUCCUCUUCUGCCCAUAUGACAGAGGCCAUGGCUUUGUACUUUCAUAGGCCCUGGCUCAGGGUCGUUAGUAGUUGCUCACUAGGUAACUAGGUAACUAUAUGAGUUCGUUGGUAUAGUUAAAAUGAUAGCUAAUUUGAACUUCUUUAAUACUCAUGGGAAUCAAGGGUAGUUUUACAUUGCAGGUUGAUUUCCUUGCUUCUUAAUUGAUAGCCCUAUGAAAGAAUUAAGUUUCUCCUUCCUACUAAAAUCCAGACACAUUAUCCACUAUACUAAGAGUUAUACAAAAUUCACUUUCAUAGUAAAUCUGUUUUCAACAGAAAAAGAGUAUUUUUCAGUCUAAUAAAGAACCUACUAUUUAUGGUUCAGCCUUAGUACCACGGAAGUAGAACAAGCAGACCUUGUGUGCUCCUGACAUAAUGCAGUAUAAAUCUGAACUCUUCCUGCCAAAAAGCUGAACCUAAAUCUAAUCAAAUCUCUAGAAGUAUUUUUCAUUCACAGAAAAUAUAAGUUAUAGAGAUGCAAUCUUAGAAGGAAACAAACAAAAAUCCAGAAUGUGGGACAGAGCUCGAAACAAUUGACCCAAUUUCUACAAUAAGUCAGUGGAAUGAAAAAAAUAUGGGAUUGUGGGAAAGAAUAGGGUGUGGUAACUAGAAAAACCCUAAAAGAUACAAGUAUCAUGCGCUAGUGUAGGCUUUAUUUAAGAGCUGAUUUGAACCAUAAAAAGACGUCCAUGAGCUGGUGAGGAAACUGAUGAUAGAUCGCAUUAGAUGCCAAGAAAUUAUUGUCUGUUUGAUUAGAUGUGCUAAUGGCACUGUGAUUGUGUAAGGAAAUUUCCGUACUUUUUAGUGGUUUUUACUGCAGCAUUCAGGAUGAAAUGACUUGAUGUCUGGGAUUCACCUUAAAAUAUUUCAGCAAAGAACAAAGCAAUGAUGUAACAAUGUGGCAAACUUUGUUAAUUGUUGAUAGGAAUAUUAGGGUUCACUAAUUUUUUUUGUAUAUUUGAAAUUUUUUGCACAAUAAAAAAGUUUUUUUAA